GCAAGUCGAACGCGAACGUCUUCUUCGGAAGGCUAGUAGAGUGGCGCACGGGUGAGUAACGCGUAAGUAAUCUACCCCUGUAUUUGGGAUAAUCCACCGAAAGGUGUGCUAAUACCGGAUACGUCUAAUUUAAUAUCUUUUUUUUAGAGAAAGGUGGCCUCUUCAUGAAAGCUACUGUACCAGGAGGAGCUUGCGUACCAUUAGCUAGUUGGUAGGGUAAUGGCCUACCAAGGCAACGAUGGUUAGCGGGUCUGAGAGGAUGAUC
rnacentral:rRNA from 1 species